UACGGAGGAUCCAAGCGUUAUCCGGAUUUACUGGGCGUAAAGAGUUGCGUAGGUGGUCUGUUAAGCAAAUAGUGAAAUCUUGUGGCUCAACCAUAAGGCUAUUAUUUGAACUGGCAGACUCGAGAAUGAGAGAGGUCACUGGAAUUCCCUGUGUAGGAGUGAAAUCCGUAGAUAUAGGGAGGAACACCAAUGGCGUAGGCAGGUGACUGGCUCAUUUCUGACACUGAGGCACGAAAGCGUGGGGAGCGAACGGG
rnacentral:rRNA from 1 species